UGCUCUCCCGGAAACGCAGGCGGGCCACUGCGGCGGAUGUCUUCCUGGCCUUGAGAUGCGACUCCCACGUUGGACCUUCUUGCUCCCUGCUCCAAGGCUCCCUCUGCCCACACGGAGGCGGCUGUCGCCGUGGCUCUUUUCUGCUUCUUGCCUGGGAUGCCACUGUGCUCAUUCUGUUGGGACCACUGGCCAGGCUUGUGGCAAAAACAGCAUUAAGUUUGAAGAGGUUCAGUGCUGAGCUUGCUUUUAUGAUUAAGGUUCACCUCUGCUCUCUCGACCCCCGAGGGCCACACAGUCGGAGAUUAUCCUUAUCCCGGGCUGGAGGUGGGCCCUGCGUGGUUCAGGAAGACCUGGGCUCCCUCCUUCCUGACAGGGAUUGGUUCAGGAACCUGGGCCCCAGCCAAUCAAUGCGCUUAGCGGCCCUGCGAGGAGGACUGUCAGGAAGGGAUGCGCCACUCAACUUGUGCAAUGAAAACUGCAAGGGGAUGUUUGCUGAGGGGCCCUGUAGGAAAAGUUUCUUCAUGUAGAAGACAGAACCAAACGGAGAGGCAGUUUAUUUCUUCGUCUGGCUGCUGGAAUGUGCUCAUGUGUGCACAAGUGGCCUAGGAUUGCUGCAGCCAUUUUCUUAGCAGCCCGAAUAUGAAGUUGGCCCGUGGAGGAAGGCUGAGUCAGGGGAACUUUUGGAAAGUGGAGCUGGAACCACAGAACUGAGUCAAAUCUGAAACCUGCUGACCUUCUGGGCUUUUCAGUAUGCAAGCCAAUAACUUUCCUUCUUUCCUUAUUAUUUUCCAGUUUAAAUUGGGUUUUCUGCUUCUUCAAGCUUAGUGAAUCCUGACUGAUAACACCAGCUCAUCUAAGCCGGAAAGGUUUCCUCCCAGUGACUGCGGGGACUUGUGUGGGGGUGCGGGGGAGGGGGCAGGGAGGCACAUUGAAGAGCGUAUCACGCACAUCUCAUGCCUGUCUCAGAGUCUCUUGGCUUCAGCUGCCUCUUGGAUCCCUGACCGCCUGCUCUACUCCACCUGCUGCCGCUGUCUGACUCCAUGGUAACCCACAGAGUUCAACUUCCUCAGGCCGACCACCACCACACCUGAAGUCACUGAUGUCUCACAGCACUUCUGGACGCGGAUGAAGACUGAGCUCCAGACGUCACAUUUGGCUUCCUGAGCAGCUGCUGCAGGGGCUGGGUAAUGCAGCUCGGGAGUGUGGGAGAGUUAAAUCUCUGGAAGGUGAACUUUGAGCGAGGGAACUCAAGAGACGGGUGAGGGAUCUGCCAGAUAAAUGUCCUCUCCCUUCCUCCCUCCAAAGACUGGACCAAAGAGCAUCUUCCUCCCUGAACAGCCCAUUUGGAAAUAUCUUGUAUGGCUGGACCAUUGCCCCUGCUGAAAUGCAACACUUUGCGUCAUGCUUCAUCCUUCUCUACUCACCUUCCUUUUUGCUCAGUUUUGCAGCCAUGAGAUUAUACUUUCU